AUAGAUUUAGCAAGGUGGGUGGAGGGCGACUCGGGAAACUGUAGGGUGAGGGAAAAAAGGAGGAAAGAACAAAACUGUCCACAUGAGACUUUGCUGCUGGGUUGUGAGCUAUUCUUAUCCUGUCAGCACAAUUAAUGAGGGAAAAAUAGUCCCCAGAAGAAAUGUGGCUGGAGGCACUGAUCUGCCCUCCAUCCCCCUCGCGCCAAGAGGGACAAAGUCUAGAGAAAGUAUCCCCAGCGGAGUUACUGGGAAAGCGACUGCUUGGCCCUGGGUAAAACUUUGAGAUCAACUUCAGGGGCAAGUUAAUUUAGGGCCAAGUGUAGGCACAGAACUGCAAACGCAAAGGAAGAAUCUCUCUCCUCAAAUCGUGUACAGCGUAUCUGGGGAGCGAACAGCAACACACUAGACAUGACGAAAGGACCUCACAAAGCAGUGGGUCAGCCCCAGCUGGCCCAUGAGGGUCACAGCAGUUUUCAGGGUCUUGGUCUACAGUCAGCCCUGCUCCUGGUGGAAGAUGCUUCUGUUCCCAUGCAGACCACGGAGGCGGCAGGAGGCGGACAGGGGAGGUUAUGACAUGCCCAGGGUGAGCCAUUCGAAGACACUUGUUUUCCUGCUGGUACAUCUUACAUCUCAUGUUGCUGGCAUGGCUGAGUUGGCUGGUCAGCAAGCAGAGGAAAGGUGCUAUGUGAAAAGGAAACCUGAGCUGGUGAUGAGGGCUAACUCUUUAACACACAACCCCACGUCACAGUGCCUUAACACAACAGAAGUUACAUCUUGCUCAUGGAACCAUUUAACGUCAGUGUCUGACGAAUGGGACUGGAUGGAGUGGGGAGGAGGAGGAAACAGACUGACUUCCCGCACUUAUUUUGACAAACGCUGGGUGUCGAGACUGCCAAGCAGAGCCCAGCUGAGUCCAGAAGCAUCCGCCAUUGGAUGCCGAGAGUGGUGAUUUUGGUGCUUUAAAACGAAAUCUGGCUCCCAGGAGGGAAGAGAAGCGCUUUCUCACCGAGGAUAAGACCCUGGGGGAGGGACAGGGCUCAAGUCUCAUGGCUUGCCCAGGGACGGGCACAUGAAUGGCUCAAUAAGUAUUUGCUGAUGUUGAAUUGAUGAAUGAAGACAGUUACGCAGACAUGAACACAGUGAGAGACUGGAGGAGUCUGACUGCAUUCCCAUGCCAUGUACUGAGUGCUUGUGAUUCUGAAACCGUGAACCUGCGGCAGAAAAGUAAGGCACCUCUGGGUCCUUGAGGCAGCAGUGAUUUCUCCAAGAGCAAAGACUGCACGUAAGAUGCUGGCCCGCCUGCUGCCCUACCUGUCUCUCAGGUUUGUGUGAAGACCAGCUGUGAUGACAAUACAUGGCACAGGAAUGUGUUUUGCUAACUGCAAAGCAGCAGAACAACGUGAGUUAUUACCCUCUUUUCACUGUUUUCUGCAUGGAAUUGAAAGUUUGAAAGUCACAGAAUGAGCUGUAGAUUCGUAUCCAAAUCAUGUGCGAUGAAUCCUAUUUUCACAAGGUUAUGCUCCACUGAAAUGCAGUUUACGUGUUUCCCUAACUGUCAGAAGCAACCUACACUUAGUAAGGAGGGCAGGAGCCCCAAGGUAAGGCAUAUUGCGGGUGCUGGUGUGCUCUAGAGACUAGGAGGCUGUCAAGGAGAGAAAAGAAGAAAAGGGAAAAGAAAGAGAUGGAAGAAGGAAGGAGGGAAGGAAGGAAGGAAGAAUUCAUGAUGGCUUUAACAGAACUAUUUGCAAUUCGUCCUGAGUGACCAGGGGCAACCACCCAUAAGACCAUCCAAAGGAAAAUCUUGUUAAAAUGAGAUCAUAUUUCCCCUCAGAAAAGAAGAUAGAACGUGGCAGGUGAGUUUGAAUUGCACGUUCACCUUGUUUGAUUUCUCUCCACUGGGUGACGGUCUCAGGAACCCACGCCACAUCGGGCAGGGCAGCCAGCACUGCUCAGGGACAGCGCAAGCCCAGAAGCUAGACGCCUCCUGUGAGGAACUGUUGAUAAAACAAAUCUUCGUCAAUGUACAAAUUAUCAUCUUUUUAUCAAGAUGGUUCUCUCUCCUAUCUCAUAAUAAAUCUGCGUGUGUUGUGCGUGUGUGUGUGCGCGUGCGCGCAGCGGUGUGCUUUUAGUGAGUGAGUGCAUGUGUGCGCGUGUGAUGGUUUGAGACCUCAUCUGGGGUGAUGCAGGGAGAAAACAGGGCGUGGGGGGCCUGUCCUUUGUUUAUUUUGCAGAUAAAUCUCAUCUCUAAUCCGGAUGCAAAGCAGUGUCUUGUGCAGAGGAAAGGAAGCCCUUGUACCACCCCGAUGACACCCAUAUAAAUCACAGAUUUUAUUCCUCUGCUGUGAGGGGCAUUACAGAUCUGAGCAACGUUGCAGACUCUCAUUGGGUGAUGCUUCAUUACUUGGUGGAAAAUCCCCAGGGCCAAAACAUUAUUUAAAUGUGCUAUGAAAAUAAACGUGAUUUAUAGGUGUGUCAGCGGCUGAGACUUUCUUGCCCGUUACUGCCUGUGCUGUUGUGCAUCAGGAUUAGGGCCUCGAUUUAUCGCCAGUUCAAGCUACACACAUGCUCCACAUCAGGACAUUGUCUACAUCCCCAGCGGUUCCAGAAAGGGGACAGUGUUUGCUGGCUGGUGGGUUUCAGAUGGUCCUCGGUGCUUUUGGCUUUUACUGGCUGAGAACGUGCGUGCGGGCGUGAGCGUGCGUGUACCAGAGUCGAAUCUGGCCCACGUUCAUUUGGAGACCGUGGGCAACAACACUUUGUGCUCAGGUGCAUCCAUUCUCCAUGGCAGCAGAAUGGUGUUUCUGGUUAUAAAGAGAAAGAAGAAAGUGCAAUCUCCAUUUCGGCCCAGGGCUGGGGCCCACAUGUUUAGCUCAGAAAUCUCUGAAAAGCAGAUUUGGGGUAAUAAACAUCAGCAAGUUCUUCAGCCCAAAUGGGAUUUGAUUAGCAGGAAAAAGUGCAGUUGGGAUGUUUCCAUUACCAAAGGCAGAGAUACAGGGAAAGGCUUGUCUGAAAGGGCAAAGAAGCUCCCCCAGGUGCCUAAGCAGAGCCUUGGUGACGGCUGUCUUUCCCACUGGGCUUCCACGGACACUCAGAAAACGUGGGGCAGACUGUGAUUCCUACCCCACACCAUGGGGUGCUGUCCCAUUGCUCCAGACAAGGAGACUAGAGGUCGGAAGAGGUGGCAGAGCUGAGACUGGACACCACUGAUUGAGCAGGUGGCAGGUCCUGUACAGUCCUCACUAGAGCCCUGCCUUUAUGCCCAUUUUAAGGAUGAGGAAACUGAGGGCCACAGAGGUAGAACUGUCAUAGCUUGGAAAUUUCCAGACCUAGAGAAUUCAGGUCUUUUCCUUCCAGAAUCUCUCUUCUCUGGAUGUUCACGUAACUGGUGGCAAUUUGUGUUUCGCCAUUCUUAUCUCCGGUUCCACAUCCUCCGUUUUUCAAGA